AUUGAACGCUGGCGGCAUGCCUUACACAUGCAAGUCGAACGGUAACAGGUCUUCGGAUGCUGACGAGUGGCGAACGGGUGAGUAAUACAUCGGAACGUGCCUAGUAGUGGGGGAUAACUACUCGAAAGAGUGGCUAGUACCGCAUGAGAUCUACGGAUGAAAGCAGGGGAUCGCAAGACCUUGUGCUACUAGAGCGGCCGAUGGCAGAUUAGGUAGUUGGUGGGAUAAAAGCUUACCAAGCCGACGAUCUGUAGCUGGUCUGAGAGGACGAUCAGCCACACUGGGACUGAGACACGGCCCAGACUCCUACGGGGGGCAGCAGUGGGGAAUUUUGGACAAUGGGCGCAAGCCUGAUCCAGCAAUGCCGCGUGCAGGAUGAAGGCCUUCGGGUUGUAAACUGCUUUUGUACGGAACGAAAAGCCCUGGGUUAAUACCCUGGGGUCAUGACGGUACCGUAAGAAUAAGCACCGGCUAACUACGUGCCAGCCGCCGCAGUAACAC
rnacentral:rRNA from 1 species